GACGAACGCUGGCGGCGUGCUUAACACAUGCAAGUCGAACGGUGAUGACAGGGCUUGCCUUGUCGGAUCAGUGGCGAACGGGUGAGUAACACGUGAGUAACCUGCCCCAGACUCUGGGAUAACCCCGGGAAACCGGAGCUAAUACCGGAUAUGACCCUUGUACGCAUGUGCUGGGGGUGGAAAGUUUUUCGGUCUGGGAUGGGCUCGCGGCCGAUCAGCUUGUUGGUGAGGUAGUGGGUUACCAAGGCGACGACGGGUAGCCGGCCUGAGAGGGCGACCGGCCACACUGGGACUGAGACACAGCCCAGACUCCUACGGGAGGCAGCAGUGGGGAAUAUUGCACAAUGGGCGGAAGCCUGAUGCAGCGACGCCGCGUGAGGGAUGACGGCCUUCGGGUUGUAAACCUCUUUCAGCAGGGAAGAAGCGGAAGUGACGGUACCUGCAGAAGAAGCACCGGCUAACUACGUGCCAGCCGCCGCCGUAACAC
rnacentral:rRNA from 1 species